GGCCGGGGCGCAGGCGGGGCGCAGGCGGGGCUCGGGGGCUCCGGGAGCGCAGGCGGGGCGCAGGCGGGGCUCGGGGGCUCCGGGAGCGGCGGGGCGCAGGCGGGGCUGGGGGCUCCCGGGGCGGCGGGGAGCAGGCGGGGCUCGGGGGGCUCCCGGGGCGGCGGGGCGCAGGCGGGGCUCGGGGGCUCCCGGGCGGCGGGGAGCAGGCGGGCUCGGGGGCUCCGGGCGGCGGGGCGCAGGCGGGGCUCGGGGGCUCCCGGGCGGCGGGCGCAGGCCGGCUGGACUGCGCGGGGCCGCCGCUCCGCGGGCCACGUGACGGAAGCGGCGGCGGCGGCGGCGGCGGCGGCGGCGGCGGGGCCGGGCCAGCCCAGGAGCGGCGGGCCGGGAGCGGCGGGCGGCGCGGGGCCCCAGGCCGCAGGGCCGCGCGGGACGGCGGAGGGCGGCGGGCGCCGCGCGGGUGAGUGCGGGGGCGGUGGCGGGGCCGGGCGGGGCGCGGGGGGCGCGGGGGGCGGCGAGGGAGGGGCGCCUGGGGUGGGGCGGGGCGCGGCCGGCAGGUGUGUCGGCGGGGGCGGGGGUCUCGUUGGCGAGGGCAAGUGUGCACGUGCGCGUGGCUGGGACAGGUGCGCCCGCGCGGGGGUCAGCGGGGGCGGAGGGUGCGGGGCGUGUGCGAGCUUAGGGCGGGCGAGGCGGGGAAGACCCAGCCCCCGGUUUGGGGGAGGCUUUCGGUUUUCUGGGGGGAGGAGCUCCGGACUCCGCCCCUGCGCCCGGAGCCCCGCCGCCCCGUGUCAGGACUGGUUCUGUCGCUGGAGCUCCUGGGAUUUCAGAGUUGAGAUUCCGGGUCACGGUGGGGCCCGAGUCGUGGCCCCCGAACUGGGGGACAGGGCAGGGGUGUGGGGCGGAGGAGGAGCGCGGCUUCGGGCCCUGGAAUCUUCCUUUCCGCGGCCUCCUGGUGCAGGUGCGAGUCGGGCGCUCCCGCUCGCCUCCUGGGUGUUGCAUGGGUCCGACUCUAAAGACGGGCGCUGUGCUCCCCGCUUGUUUGCACCUGCCGUUGCUUCUGCCCCGGGCUGUUGGGCGAUCUUCAGACCCCCCCCGCCCCCCCCGCUGGCUGCCGGGAACGGGGGUGCACGCCGCCGCUUGCCAGUGGCCUGCGUGGGGCGCUGGGGUCGGAACCUGUCGGAGCGGGUCGAAUCCCUGACCGAGCGCCCGUGGGUAGGCGCCCGCCCAUCCGAGGUGAGGGCCGGCCGCCGCCUGCGUGCCUCCAGCCGCGCGGGAAGGCAGUGGCCGAAGCGCUGA
rnacentral:lncRNA from 1 species